UACGUAGGGUGCAAGCGUUAAUCGGAAUUACUGGGCGUAAAGCGUGCGCAGGCGGCUAUGCAAGACAGAUGUGAAAUCCCCGGGCUCAACCUGGGAACUGCAUUUGUGACUGCAUGGCUAGAGUACGGCAGAGGGGGAUGGAAUUCCGCGUGUAGCAGUGAGAUGCGUAGAUAUGCGGAGGAACACCGAUGGCGAAGGCAAUCCCCUGGGCCUGUACUGACGCUCAUGCACGAAAGCGUGGGGAGCAAACAGG
rnacentral:rRNA from 1 species